rnacentral:rRNA from 1 species
GACGAACGCUGGCGGCGUGCCUAAUACAUGCAAGUCGAGCGAACAGAUGAAGUGCUUGCACUUCUGACGUUAGCGGCGAACGGGUGAGUAACACGUAAGGAAUCUACCUAUAAGCGGGGGAUAACAUUCGGAAACGGGUGCUAAUACCGCAUAAUAUCUUCUUCCGCAUGGAAGAAGAUUGAAAGACGGCUCUGCUGUCACUUAUAGAUGACCUUGCGGUGCAUUAGUUAGUGGGUGGGGUAAUGGCCUACCAAGACGAUGAUGCAUAGCCGACCUGAGAGGGUGAUCGGCCACAUUGGGACUGAGAAACGGCCCAAACUCCUACGGGAGGCAGCAGUAGGGAAUCUUCCGCAAUGGGCGAAAGCCUGACGGAGCAAUGCCGCGUGAGUGAAGAAGGCCUUCGGGUCGUAAAACUCUGUUAUAAGAGAAGAACAAAUUGUAGAGUAACUGCUACAGUCUUGACGGUAUCUUAUCAGAAAGCCACGGCUAACUACGUGCCAGCCGCCGCGGUAA